AAGCAUCAUUGCUACAG
rnacentral:misc_RNA from 1 species